UGGAUCUCACUGCUGGCUUCUAAAAGGGCAGUCAAAUCGUUGGGUGGAUUCUUCAGAAUGAGGCGUGAAAUGCUCUCGGGUGAAAUCAACCGGCACACAGGCGUGUUAACCGACAAUUUUCUCUUAUAAUGCAGGAAAGUGGAAGCAAAAUUCUCAGGAACGCCUUGUCAUUCAACACAAGAUUUUAAAGGUUAAUUAUGAGAAAAUGCGUUGGCACACAAUGAGUGUGGCUUUAAAAAUGCCACAAUUUGAUCCGAAAGGGGGUUUGAUGGACAGCAACCUGAAAUUAUCGUUGAUCACCACGGUAUGCGCUUUGCUUAUGAUUAUUGCUUUCAGCUUCACCGCAGUGAUGAACUGAUUC
rnacentral:sRNA from 1 species